CUUAAAUCAAGUUCCAUCCAAUAAAAAAAUCAUUAUACUUUUUCCUACUCAUUGAAUUUUCAAAGGACAGAUGUUAACUUUUCUCAUGGGUUCACAGGAUUUCAUUGAACAAAUUCAUUCAAAUAAUUCCCUUUCAACUCCAUUUUCUAAAAAAAUGGUGGACCUUUUUAUACUUUAAAGGUAUGAAGUUAAAUUUCUGUUGUUGAUGGUUUAAAAUUGCCAUCACUUCUUUUAAAUAAUUGUACACAUUUUAAUUUAAUCCUAUUUCCUUUCUGCUUCUCCUCCAUUUGGUUUAUUAAAAAAAUCUUGCCAAUUGGAAGCAUAAUAAUAUAAUGGCUUAAAACAGGUUUAUUUCUGGGUACUCUGUUGAUCACAUUGAUCCUGUUAAAAAUAUAUUGGCAUUGGCAUUUUUAUCAAGUAAUGUAAUGAAUAUAACAGUGCUGAAUAGCAGGAGUUAAUUAUGAGUAAAGUAUGAAA
rnacentral:lncRNA from 1 species